AUGACUAAUGUUAAAUAGCCGCAGUAUUUUGACUGUGCAAAGGUAGCAUAAUCAUUAGUUUUUUAAUUGAAAGCUAGAAUGAAUGGUCGGAUGAGAAAGAAUCUGUCUCAUUUUAAUUUGUUUGAAUUUUAUUUUUAAGUUAAAAAGCUUAAAUUUUAUAAUAAGACGAGAAGACCCUAUAGAGUUUAAUAAGCUAAUAUAUAAUUAUUUGAAGGUUUUAAUUUAAUUAUUUUUUAGCUUGUUUUGUUGGGGUGACAUUAGAAUUUAAUAAACUUCUUAAUAUUUAUACAUUGAUUUAUGAAUAAAUGAUCCUAAUUUUUGGAUUAAAAGAACAAAUUACCUUAGGGAUAACAGCGUAAUUUUUUUGGAGAGUUCUAAUCGAUAAAAGGGAUUGCGACCUCGAUGUUGGAUUAAAGUUAAGUUUCGGUGC
rnacentral:rRNA from 1 species